UGGAUCCAGACUUUGAUCAUGGCUCAGGAUGAACGCUAGCGGCAGGCUUAACACAUGCAAGUCGAGGGGCAGCGGGUUUGUAGCAAUACAGAUGCCGGCGACCGGCGGAAGGGUGCGUAACGCGUGAGCAACAUGCCCGUAUCAGGGGGAUAACCCGGAGAAAUCCGGACUAAUACCCCAUAUGACAGAAGGAGGCAUCUUCAUCUGUUGAAAAUUGCGAUGGAUACGGAUUGGCUCGCGUGACAUUAGCUGGAUGGUGAGGUAACGGCUCACCAUGGCAACGAUGUCUAGGGGAACUGAGAGGUUGGUCCCCCACACUGGAACUGAGACACGGUCCAGACUCCUACGGGAGGCAGCAGUGAGGAAUAUUGGACAAUGGGCGGAAGCCUGAUCCAGCCAUGCCGCGUGAAGGAAGACGGCCCUAUGGGUCUUAAACUUCUUUUGUACGGGAGCAAUAAGGGUCACGAGUGGUCCGAUGAGAGUACCGUACGAAUAAGCAUCGGCUAACUCCGUGCCAGCAGCCGCGGUAAUACGGAGGAUGCGAGCGUCAUCCGGAUUCAUUGGGUUUAAAGGGUGCGUAGGCGGCGUGGUAAGUCAGCGGUGAAAUGUACCGGCUCAACCGGUAACGUGCCGUUGAUACUGCCGUGCUGGAAUACUGUUGCCGUGGGAGGAAUGUGUAAUGUAGCGGUGAAAUGCAUAGAUAUUACACAGAACACCGAUUGCGAAGGCAUCUCACGAAGCAGGCAUUGACGCUGAUGCACGAAAGUGCGGGGAUCAAACAGGAUUAGAUACCCUGGUAGUCCGCACAGUAAACGAUGAUAACUAGCUGUAGGCGAUAUAAGGUCUGUGGCCAAGCGAAAGCGAUAAGUUAUCCACCUGGGGAGUACGACCGCAAGGUUGCAACUCAAAGGAAUUGACGGA
rnacentral:rRNA from 1 species